UACCAAUAAAAAGUUAUUUCCCGUUUUUAUUUGAAUAUGUUGUGUUAAAUGUUUUUCCUCUUUCAGUGUCACAUGUUCCUUCAGAAAUAAUUCUAAUAUGCUGAUUUGCUGCUUAAUAAACAUUUCUGAAUAAAUAAUUCUAACAAUAACAAUGGUGCAUUUUUUGUGAAAACAAUUAAUCUUUUUUUUUUCUUUGAAUAGAAAGGUCAAAGUUUUUUUUUUUUUUUUUUUUAGUUUUUAUUGAAAUCUACAUUUUUUUGUCAUUUUUAUUCAAGUUCAUGCAUCUUAGCAGAGUAAAACCAAUUUCUUACUGACACCAAGCUCUUGAAUGGUAGGUAUAUAGCUCUGUGUGAAAACGUUGGAACAAUCACAGGUUUCCUCCCUGUGUCUUACAAAACUCUUGUUUCUGUUGUUUGAGUUAAUCAGCAGCUCUCUCCCGAGUGUUAAUUAUUUCUUAGAGGGUGUGUGUGUGUGUGCGUGCGUGUUUAGUGUCCCAGGAACAGGCUCAAUGUUAUGACAUAUUUCCUGUGGAGGACAAUUUUGUCAUUACUUUUGCCUGACUCAAGUUUUCAGUGACAAACAAUUUGAGAAACUCAAAUCGUCAUUUAAAAUAUAUUCAUCAAGUGUCAUAUUUCAGUACAGCAGUCUUACCAGAUAUUUUUCUCAGGUGGCCAAACCUGUGUGUCUUUCUUCACCUUCAUGUCACAGUUUGUGUUCCCCUGAGAGUGGAGCUGAAAUCAUCUGCUGUUCCUCCGAGACGCUGAUGACGCUGCUCUGCUGUAACCACAGACCACAGAGAUCCAGCCCAGCAGAAGCACAGGGACGGCCAGUCGCCUCACUUGCUGUUUUUAUUGUUCUUUGUUGGACCGAUGAGAUUGGCUUUUGUGUUGUGUUCUAAACUAAAGACCAACAUGGACUUCAGAGGUUUACAAGGGACAAUGUUGCAUCACAGCCUAAUGUUUCAUCACUCUCUUGUGUUUGUCCAAUAAAAGGGCAGUCCAUUUUUGAAGGCAAAAUAUGAAGGCAAUAUAGCUAUUCAUAAAAUAAUAAAGCAUUUAUUAUAGUCAUAUAAAUGGUCACGCUGAAGAAGCUAGUCAACAGGCAGAUGUUAACAUGACAUCUGUUUGUCUUUAAAAAUCAUGAACAAAUCUACAUGUGUAUGAAUAAAAAAAAAAAAUAAUAAAAAAAAAGGAUCCAGACUGCAUUAAAUUAUAAGUUUUUUACUGAAUUCAGUCACCACUUAAAAAUUUUGAAUAUUAACAACAACAAAAAACUACAAACCAUUUUAAACACAAACAGUCUGAAGCUACAGAACCAAUUAAAAGUCAUUACAUUUUUUAUAAUAAUAAUAAUAUACUUUUUAGCAAGGAUGCAUUAAAUCAAUCAAAGUGACUGUAGA
rnacentral:lncRNA from 1 species